GGUCUGGUCCAAAAUGGUGGACUUCAUGGAUAAAAUGGAUUUAAAAAGCAGCUAAGCCCACGCUGGAUCCCAAGGGGACAGAAGGGGCUCGAGGUCAGGAAUUCAUCCAGAAGAACAUGUUCUCUGCCUGCAGCAGCUCCCAUUAAGAUUCACCAGCCCCAGGGAAACGGGCAAAAUCCACGUGGAAUCAGGUGCCGUGAGGUCUGUAAACCACAGUGCUCCUCCUGAUGAAAACUGCUCUUGAACUACAAGAACAAUUUAAGGCAAGUACAGAACUGAGUAGGAUUUGCUGCCUCAAGUGAGCCAGAACCGUCCCAUGCAUUACAAUCCAAACACACAACUUUCUAGGUACAUUUUAGCUACGUGAUAAAUGCUGUUAAAGCAGAAAUCUGUGGUUCAACAGAUUUUAACAGUCUGCUAUCAGUACAAGUGAAAACAGGUAGGAGAUAAAAGCUGAGAGCCAGCUUAGCUCUCAACAGCCACUGAGAGGUAAACCCGCAGCAAAAACUACUUUGAUCUCAACCACCACUUUACAAGUCAAUGAGGAAAAUAAGAAUGCA